AUGCUUUGUUUGGAAGCACGUUUACCAAAAUUGGUUAAAUGUAUAGAAGAUUAGCAUGGCUCCUGUGAAAGCAUGACAUGAAAAUUCAUGAAGCAUUCCAUACAUUA
rnacentral:snRNA from 1 species